CAAGAGGUUGCACGAACAAUAAAAUAUGUUAAUGGCAGGGAAGUUUUCCACGCGAUAUAAUUUUGUGGAAGGUAAUGAAGGUUUCACAACAACCAAAGUAAUAGAGGAAAAUUCAGACAGUAGAAGUGCAAUUGAAUUUAAUUCUACAAUUCAGAAAUCUGCAGAGGCAUCAAUCAUUAAUUUACUUGAGGAUGCGCCUCCACCGACUCCGCAACCAAUAGCAUCUUAUAAAAGCGGACUCACACCUAUGCCUGCACCAUUAUUGGAUAUAAAAUCGAAAAAAGUCCACUUAAACUCCUUUUGGAGUCCGCCGUACCCCGGUUCGAAUCCUCCCAGUCCCCAACAAUCCGCAAGGAGCUACCCCUUAAGUCCAGGGGCUCAUCCCCAGCACAUGGGCGAGCGGUGUGUGGACCUAGUGUAACUUUUAUUUGAGGGUAAACAUAACUUCUUUGCAAAGACAAGGCAAAAGGAUGGAUACAGGAGAUCUACACGACCGAGACAGCAUCAACGGACGACGACUCGACAUCUCAACUCGAGUCGAGUCGACGGCCGAGACGACUAAACAGAUGGACGAGACGAGACUCGACCCAAACCAACAAUGCAUAUGGACUUCCUCCACUGCCUGAGGGGCGACAAAUUAAGGGAACAGGUCGAUGGGCGGAUUGUGGAUGCAUGAGGGCGUCGUAGGGGGUGCCUUCAUCCUGCGUGAUAUCUCGACGAUUGGAAUCAUCGCUCCCGCGCGCACAUUCAGAAUUAUUUUCAUCAUACGUGAGGCAGAAGGCUCAAGCAUUCAUCGUACAAAUGACUUCAUCUUAAAUUUGAGGUGUUUAGUACCAAGAAUCUUUUAGUCCAGAUCGCCUCCUCGUCUCGUCGUUGAUGGCGUAAGUUUUGCAUGACUGGGAUUCGCUUGGUUCACGGCGAAAGUAAGUCCGAGGCCACCAAAAAGCUUCUUCUUUGAUCCCGCGAUCCGCCCAGUCACGUACACGGUUUCCUUCGCCCCGCUCGACCCUCAGCUCCUCAUUUAGUUCGUUUGAAAAUGAAAUUAAAGCUUUUGUCUUCAUAACACAACUGGUGAUUAUAGUUUUAUAUCAUAAUAAUAUCAUGCAGCAUACUGUCCCACUACUAAAAGUUUGCCAUGAGUUGGUUAAAUGCUACUGUAGUUAUUUGGAGAAAUUGGAAAAAUGUGAGUAGCACACGGAACUGGCAAACAAAAUAAAUGGGAGUAAAUGCACGGGGCUGUCCGGUACGAUCAACUUUGCAGCUGAUUUAGGUAUGACUUAAAAAAAGAUAGGGUGGUUUAUGUAUAUCAACGUGCUCUUCAAGAAACUGUUGUGCG